ACUCCUACGGGAGGCAGCAGUGGGGAAUAUUGCACAAUGGGCGCAAGCCUGAUGCAGCCAUGCCGCGUGUAUGAAGAAGGCCUUCGGGUUGUAAAGUACUUUCAGUCGGGAGGAAGGUGGUGAGCUUAAUACGCUCAUCAAUUGACGUUACCGACAGAAGAAGCACCGGCUAACUCCGUGCCAGCAGCCGCGGUAAUACGGAGGGUGCAAGCGUUAAUCGGAAUUACUGGGCGUAAAGCGCACGCAGGCGGUUGAUUGAGUCAGAUGUGAAAUCCCCGGGCUUAACCCGGGAAUUGCAUCUGAUACUGGUCAGCUAGAGUCUUGUAGAGGGGGUAGAAUUCCAUGUGUAGCGGUGAAAUGCGUAGAGAUGUGGAGGAAUACCGGUGGCGAAGGCGGCCCCUGGACAAGACUGACGCUCAGGCGCGAAAGCGUGGGAGCAAACAGGAUUAGAUACCCUGGUAGGCUCUG
rnacentral:rRNA from 1 species